UUUCUAAGAUGGAAUUCCAGGGGAGUGGGGUAAGAUUCUCUGCCCUCCAUGGUUGAAGGAACAAAGUAUCUUUCCCCUGGAAAGAAGCAAACUGAUAAUGAAAAGAAAUGAGGGGUUUAACUUCAUAACCAAGAAUGAUUGAAAACAGGAGAAGGAAUUGCUGUCAAAGAUUGUACAGUACGAUGAAGUUGUACGGCCCUGUGAACACAGAGAUAAAGACAGAAUUCCUAAACGUAGGAACUUCCCAGUCCAGUGGAGGACAGAGACAGGAAGACAGCACUGUCACAUGGUGUUGCGGGACAGAUGCACGAGCAGAGCAGGGUGUCGGCACACGGGAAAUACCCGAUCGGACCGACAGAGGGAGAACCGUCUUUCCAGACGAGAUGAAGCUUCAGCUGAGUUGACAUCAGCAAGGCACGCGGGCGAAAGGCAUUCCAGAGAAACAAAGCAGCCCAUGCCAAGGCAGAGCGGUGGGAGGCAGGAGAGCCGGACUUGGCGAUUCAAUGCAGGCCAUUGUGGUGACACAGUGGAUGUGAAUGAGCAGCGGGCAAGAUAAGGAAGGGCUGCCUAGAAUAUCCUAAGGAAUUUGAAAGUAAAGGGGAGGUAUUGAAGGAGUCUGAGC